AACGAACGCUGGCGGCAUGCCUAACACAUGCAAGUCGAACGAGACCUUCGGGUCUAGUGGCGCACGGGUGCGUAACGCGUGGGAACCUGCCCUUAGGUUCGGAAUAACUCCCCGAAAGGGGUGCUAAUACCGGAUAAUGUCUUCGGACCAAAGAUUUAUCGCCUUUGGAUGGGCCCGCGUUGGAUUAGCUAGUUGGUAGGGUAAAAGCCUACCAAGGCGACGAUCCAUAGCUGGUCUGAGAGGAUGAUCAGCCACACUGGGACUGAGACACGGCCCAGACUCCUACGGGAAGCAGCAGUGGGGAAUAGUGGACAAUGGGCGAAAGCCUGAUCCAGCAAUGCCGCGUGAGUGAUGAAGGCCUUAGGGUUGUAAAGCUCUUUUAACCGGGAUGAUAAUGACAGUACCGGGAGAAUAAGCUCCGGCUAACUCCGUG
rnacentral:rRNA from 1 species